GGAGAGGUGGCUGAGUGGCUCAAAGCGUCCUCCUGCUAAGAGGAAACGGGUUUUUAAAUCCGUCCCAGGUAUGCCUCCGGCACGCUACGCGAACAAAUCCUGUCCUCUCCG
rnacentral:tRNA from 1 species